UCAGGACGAACGCUGGCGGCGUGCCUAAUACAUGCAAGUCGAACGCUUCUUUUUCCACCGGAGCUUGCUCCACCGGAAAAAGAGGAGUGGCGAACGGGUGAGUAACACGUGGGUAACCUGCCCAUCAGAAGGGGAUAACACUUGGAAACAGGUGCUAAUACCGUAUAACAAUCGAAACCGCAUGGUUUUGAUUUGAAAGGCGCUUUCGGGUGUCGCUGAUGGAUGGACCCGCGGUGCAUUAGCUAGUUGGUGAGGUAACGGCUCACCAAGGCCACGAUGCAUAGCCGACCUGAGAGGGUGAUCGGCCACAUUGGGACUGAGACACGGCCCAAACUCCUACGGGAGGCAGCAGUAGGGAAUCUUCGGCAAUGGACGAAAGUCUGACCGAGCAACGCCGCGUGAGUGAAGAAGGUUUUCGGAUCGUAAAACUCUGUUGUUAGAGAAGAACAAGGAUGAGAGUAACUGUUCAUCCCUUGACGGUAUCUAACCAGAAAGCCACGGCUAACUACGUGCCAGCAGCCGCGGUAAUACGUAGGUGGCAAGCGUUGUCCGGAUUUAUUGGGCGUAAAGCGAGCGCAGGCGGUUUCUUAAGUCUGAUGUGAAAGCCCCCGGCUCAACCGGGGAGGGUCAUUGGAAACUGGGAGACUUGAGUGCAGAAGAGGAGAGUGGAAUUCCAUGUGUAGCGGUGAAAUGCGUAGAUAUAUGGAGGAACACCAGUGGCGAAGGCGGCUCUCUGGUCUGUAACUGACGCUGAGGCUCGAAAGCGUGGGGAGCAACAGAUAGAUA
rnacentral:rRNA from 1 species